GAUGAACGCUGGCGGCGUGCCUAAUACAUGCAAGUCGAGCGAUCAGACGCGGCUUUUGCUCCUCUGUCGUUAGCGGCGGGUGGGUGAGUCACACGUGGAUAACCUAUCUCUCUGACUUGGAUCACUUCGAGAAACUGUAGCUACUACCGGAUACUAUCUUGAACCGCAUGGUUCUGUAGUGAUUGAUGGUUUUGCUGUCACCUCUCGAUGGAUCCGCGCCGCAUUAGCUAGUUGGUACGGUAACGGCUUACCAAGGAAACGAUGCGUGGCCGAAAGGAGAGGGGGAUCGCCCACACGAGAACUGAAACGCGGACCAGACUCCUACGAGAGGCAGCAGUAGGGAAUCGUACGCAAUGGGCGAGAGCCUGACGGAGCAACGGCGCGUGAGUGAUAGAGAUCUUGGGAGCGUAAAACUCGGCUAUGAGGGAAAAACAAAUGUCUAAGGAACUAUACACAUCGUGACGGUACCUGAACAGAAAGCCACGGCUAACUACGUG
rnacentral:rRNA from 1 species